rnacentral:rRNA from 1 species
ACGGGUGCGUAACACGUGAGUUACAUGCCCUGCAGUGGGGAAUAGCCCGCCGAAAGGCGGAUUAAUACCCCAUGGUCCCGCAAGGGUAAAGGUGGCCGCAAGGCUGCCGCUGCAGGAUUGGCUCGCGGCCUAUCAGCUAGUUGGCGGGGUAACGGCCCACCAAGGCGACGACGGGUACCUGGUCUGAGAGGAUGAUCAGGCACACUGGAACUGAGACACGGUCCAGACACCUACGGGUGGCAGCAGUCGAGAAUAAUUCACAAUGGGGGAAACCCUGAUGGUGCAACGCCGCGUGGAGGAUGAAGGUCUUCGGAUUGUAAACUCCUGUCAUCGGGGAGUAAGACCUGGCGGUAAAUAGCCGACAGGGUUGAUAGUACCCGAAGAGGAAGGGACGGCUAACUUCGUGCCAGCAGCCGCGGUAAUACGAAGGUCCCAAGGGUUGUUCGGAAUCACUGGGCGUAAAGGGAGCGUAGGCGGCGUGGUAAGUCAGAUGUGAAAUCCCGGGGCUCAACCCCGGAACUGCAUCCGAUACUGCCGUGCUUGAGGGUUGGAGAGGUAGCUGGAAUUAUCGGUGUAGC